UACGUAGGGUGCAAGCGUUAAUCGGAAUUACUGGGCGUAAAGGGAGCGUAGGCGGUUUUUUAAGUGGGAUGUGAAAUCCCCGGGCUUAACCUGGGAAUUGCAUUCCAAACUGGAAGACUAGAGUGCAGGAGAGGAAAGUGGAAUUCCAAGUGUAGCGGUGAAAUGCGUAGAGAUUUGGAGGAACACCAGUGGCGAAGGCGACUUUCUGGACUGUAACUGACGCUGAGGCUCGAGAGCGUGGGGAGCAAACAGG
rnacentral:rRNA from 1 species